rnacentral:lncRNA from 1 species
ACACUACAAAUUGAGAAAACUUACUUAACGGCCUCUUAAAAUAAAUUAUCUAAAACUUCAAAAUUUAACUCAAUUAAUUCGUGCAACAAUUUUGAAAAAUGACAUCCAACAUGUUUACAAUUCAAAUAUAAGUAUCUGAAACCAUUUUCCGUAUCUUCAGAUUGCGACCUCAUUGUAUGAAACAAAAAAAAUUAUCUAAAUGGUUACAAAAAUAAUAAAACUAAGGGAGCAGUAAAAAAAUGAUUCUGCUGCCAGAAAUAAAACUUUGCCAAUUCUGUCAGUAACUGUUGUCAAAAGUUAGUCACACGUAAAGAUAUAAAUCAGUAAUGCAAAGAGUGUAACAUCCCACCAAAUGCCAACCAAAUGCUGUAAGAAUCAUGUCUUUCU